rnacentral:lncRNA from 10 species
CUUGAAGUGUAACAUGGGAAUUGCUCAUCCCAAAGAGGUUCGUGAAAGUGCCCCAGGAGAGAGGGAAGGCAAAAGCUCUAUUGGGUGAGAUGCACAAAUGUCAGGGCAGGGGCACUGGAGUAACCAUGUAGUAGAUGGCUGAGCAGAGGCCAAGGAGGCAGCUCCCACCACCACAGGUGAGCAGCAGGCCAUGGGCGGGGACAAAACCAUGACUCAUAUUCCUGCUCAUUCUUUUCCAUCCCCUCCCCUUCUCCCUCACAGCCUCUCCUCAGCCUGUGUCCUGGGAAAAUUUCUUGAACAUCAAGACUAGGAAGA